AUGAACGCUGGCGGCGUGCCUAAUACAUGCAAGUCGAGCGAACGGACGAGAAGCUUGCUUCUCUGAUGUUAGCGGCGGACGGGUGAGUAACACGUGGAUAACCUACCUAUAAGACUGGGAUAACUUCGGGAAACCGGAGCUAAUACCGGAUGAUAUUUUGAACCGCAUGGUUCAAAAGUGAAAGACGGUCUUGCUGUCACUUAUAGAUGGAUCCGCGCUGCAUUAGCUAGUUGGUAAGGUAACGGCUUACCAAGGCAACGAUGCAUAGCCGACCUGAGAGGGUGAUCGGCCACACUGGAACUGAGACACGGUCCAGACUCCUACGGGAGGCAGCAGUAGGGAAUCUUCCGCAAUGGGCGAAAGCCUGACGGAGCAACGCCGCGUGAGUGAUGAAGGUCUUCGGAUCGUAAAACUCUGUCAUUAGGGAAGAACAUAUGUGUAAGUAACUGUGCACAUCUUGACGGUACCUAAUCAGAAAGCCGCGGCUAACUACGUG
rnacentral:rRNA from 1 species